rnacentral:rRNA from 1 species
UACGAAGGGGGCUAGCGUUGUUCGGAAUUACUGGGCGUAAAGCGCGCGCAGGCGGUCUUCCAAGUCAGUGGUGAAAGCCCGGAGCUCAACUCCGGAACUGCCAUUGAAACUGUAAGACUUGAGGAUGAGAGAGGUGAGUGGAAUUCCCAGUGUAGAGGUGAAAUUCGUAGAUAUUGGGAAGAACACCGGUGGCGAAGGCGGCUCACUGGCUCACUUCUGACGCUCAGGCGCGACAGCGUGGGGAUCAAACAGG